rnacentral:piRNA from 1 species
UGAGAUUGGAGCCCAGGGUCAGUCCA